AGGACGAACGCUGGCGGCGUGCUUAACACAUGCAAGUCGAGCGGUAAGGCCUUUCGGGGUACACGAGCGGCGAACGGGUGAGUAACACGUGGGUGAUCUGCCCUGCACUUCGGGAUAAGCCUGGGAAACUGGGUCUAAUACCGGAUAUGACCUCCUAUCGCAUGGUGGGUGGUGGAAAGAUUUAUCGGUGCGGGAUGGGCCCGCGGCCUAUCAGCUUGUUGGUGGGGUAAUGGCCUACCAAGGCGACGACGGGUAGCCGACCUGAGAGGGUGACCGGCACACUGGGACUGAGACACGGCCCAGACUCCUACGGGAGGCAGCAGUGGGGAAUAUUGCACAAUGGCGAAAGCCUGAUGCAGCGACGCCGCG
rnacentral:rRNA from 1 species